rnacentral:rRNA from 1 species
AUGCAAGUCGAGCGACGCAUGCCGGAGGGGUAACCCACUGGUAUGACGGAGCGGCGAACGGGUGAGUAACACGUGAGCAACCUGCCCCACAGACCGGAACAGCCCAGGGAAACCUGGAUUAAUGCCGGAUGCCCUCAUCGGACCACAUGGCCUGAUGAGGAAAUGCCUUUGUGCUGUGGGAUGGGCUCGCGGCUUAUCAGCUAGUUGGUGGGGUAACGGCCUACCAAGGCGUCGACGAGUAGCUGGUCUGAGAGGACGAUCAGCCACACUGGGACUGAGAUACGGCCCAGACUCCUACGGGAGGCAGCAGCAGGGAAUCUUGCGCAAUGGGCGAAAGCCUGACGCAGCAACGCCGCGUGGGGGAUGACGGCCUUCGGGUUGUAAACCCCUUUCAGGAGGGAAGAAAUUGACGGUACCUCCAAAAGAAGCACCGGCCAACUACGUGCCAGCAGCCGCGGUAAUACGUAGGGUGCGAGCGUUAUCCGGAAUCAUUGGGCGUAAAGAGCUCGUAGGCGGUUCAGCAAGUCGGCUGUGAAAGUCCGAGGCUCAACCUCGGAACUGCAGUCGAUACUGCUGUGACUCGAGUCCGGUAGAGGAGAAUGGAAUUCCCGGUGUAGCGGUGAAAUGCGCAGAUAUCGGGAGGAAC